rnacentral:rRNA from 1 species
GAACGGGAUCCUUGGAACGGACGCUUCGGUUGAAGUUCCUUGGUGAGAGUGGCGAACGGGUGAGUAACGCGUGGGCAAUUUGCCCUUAAGUUCGGGAUAGCUCCGGGAAACUGGAGGUAAUACCGGAUGUGGUCGUCUUCCGCAUGGGAGACUGUCCAAAGGUGGGGAUCUUCGGACCUGCCGCUUAAGGAUGAGCCCGCGUCCCAUCAGCUUGUUGGUAGGGUAACGGCUUACCAAGGCAACGACGGGUAGCUGGUCUGAGAGGAUGAUCAGCCACACUGGGACUGAGACACUGCCCAGACUCCUACGGGAGGCUGCAGUCGAGAAUCA